rnacentral:rRNA from 1 species
UGCCUCAGUAACGGCGAGUGAAGCGGCAAGAGCUCAAAUUUGAAAUCUGGCUCCUUCGGGGCCCGAGUUGUAAUUUGGAGAGGAUGCUUCGGGCGUGGCCCCCAUCUAAGUGCCCUGGAACGGGCCGUCAUAGAGGGUGAGAAUCCCGUCUGGGAUGGGUGGUCCCGCCCGUGUGAAGCUCCUUCGAAGAGUCGAGUUGUUUGGGAAUGCAGCUCUAAGAGGGUGGUAAAUUUCAUCUAAAGCUAAAUAUUGGCCGGAGACCGAUAGCGCACAAGUAGAGUGAUCGAAAGAUGAAAAGCACUUUGAAAAGAGAGUUAAACAGCACGUGAAAUUGUUGAAAGGGAAGCGUUGGCAACCAGACUCGCCCGGGAGGGCUCAGCCGGCACGUGUGCCGGUGCACUCCCCCCCGGGCGGGCCAGCGUCGGUUUGGGCGGUCGGUCAAAGGCCCCGGGAAUGUAGCACCCUCCGGGGUGCCUUAUAGCCCGAGGCGCCAUGCGACCUGCCCAGACCGAGGAACGCGCUCCGGCACGGACGCUGGCGUAAUGGUUGUCAACGG